UACGGGGGGGGUAAGCGUUGUUCGGAAUUACUGGGCGUAAAGGGCUCGUAGGCGGCCAACUAAGUCAGGCGUGAAAUCCCUCGGCUCAACCGGGGAACUGCGUCUGAGACUGGAAGGCUUGAAUUCGGGAGAGGGAUGUGGAAUUCCAGGUGUAGCGGUGAAAUGCGUAGAUAUCUGGAGGAACACCGGUGGCGAAGGCGGCAUCCUGGACCGAGAUUGACGCUGAUGCGCGAAAGCCAGGGGAGCAAACGGG
rnacentral:rRNA from 1 species